rnacentral:rRNA from 1 species
CGAGGGGCAGCGGGGUUGUAGCAAUACAACUGCCGGCGACCGGCGCACGGGUGAGUAACACGUAUGUAACCUGCCCUCUGCAGGGGGAUAAGCGGAAGAAAUUCCGUCUAAUACCGCAUAAUACAAUUUGGAGACAUCUCCGGGUUGUCAAAGGAGUGAUCCGGCAGAGGAUGGACAUGCGGCGCAUUAGCUAGUCGGCGGGGUAACGGCCCACCGAGGCUACGAUGCGUAGGGGUUCUGAGAGGAAGGUCCCCCACACUGGUACUGAGACACGGACCAGACUCCUACGGGAGGCAGCAGUGAGGAAUAUUGGUCAAUGGGCGGAAGCCUGAACCAGCCAAGUCGCGUGAGGGAAGACGGUCCUAUGGAUUGUAAACCUCUUUUGCAGGGGAGCAAGGCGCGGUACGUGUACCGCGAAGGAGAGUACCCUGAGAAAAAGCAUCGGCUAACUCCGUGCCAGCAGCCGCGGUAAUACGGAGGAUGCGAGCGUUAUCCGGAUUUAUUGGGUUUAAAGGGUGCGCAGGCGGACUGUUAAGUCAGCGGUAAAAUGUCGGUGCUCAACACCGGCCGGCCGUUGAAACUGGCAGCCUUGAGUGAGCGAGAAGUAUGCGGAAAUGCGUGGUGUAGCGGUGAAAUGCAUAAAUAUCACGCAGAACUCGGAUGGGGAAGGCAGCAUACCGGGGUUCAACUGACGUUCAGGCACGAAAAGCGUGGGGUAUCGAACAGGUUUAGAUACCUUGGUAGUCCACGCAGUAAACGAUGAAUGCUCACUGUCCGGGCCGUUUAAGGCCUGGGUGGUCAAGCGAAAGCGUUAAGCAUUCCACCUGGGGAGUACGCCGGCAACGGUGAAACUCAAAGGAAUUGACGGGGGCCCGCACAAGCGGAGGAACAUGUGGUUUAAUUCGAUGAUACGCGAGGAACCUUACCCGGGCUCAAACGGAAGGGGACAGUAUGAGAAAUCAUACAUUCCUUCGGGACCGCUUCCGAGGUGCUGCAUGGUUGUCGUCAGCUCGUGCCGUGAGGUGUCGGCUUAAGUGCCAUAACGAGCGCAACCCCUAUCGACAGUUGCUAGCAGGUAAAGCUGAGGACUCUGUCGAGACUGCCGGCGCAAGCUGUGAGGAAGGCGGGGAUGACGUCAAAUCAGCACGGCCCUUACGUCCGGGGCGACACACGUGUUACAAUGGCAGGUACAGCGGGAAGCCACCCGGCGACGGGGCGCAGAACCCGAAAACCUGUCUCAGUUCGGAUUGGAGUAGGCAACCCGACUCCAUGAAGCUGGAUUCGCUAGUAA